GCCUGGGUGGCUCAGUCGGUUGAGCAUCUGACUUCGGCUCAGGACAUGAUCUCACAGUUCAUGGGUUCGAGCCCCGCGUUGGGCU
rnacentral:tRNA from 1 species